UCUCUCUCUCUCUCUCUCUCUCUCUCUCUCAAAUUUCCUCCAUUUUCCCUCUCUUCCAUCAAUCUCCAACAUCCUGAUCCUCCUCAGCCUCACACACCCCCAAAUCAACUCAUCUCAAACCCCAAUUCAAGCAAGACCCCUGUCCCAGAGAAUGCAAAAUCCAGCCCUAGGAGAAUCUCCGGCAAUUCCAUCUGAAUCUCCAACCAUUCCACCAAAUUUGACUUUGAUCUUUGGAGAAGACUGCGAGACUGCGGAAGUUUACAAAGCUCGAACCAAAGACAUUGUUGUUGCAACUGUCCGUGGAUUUAAUGCUUGGUUUCGAUUCUCUAUACUUUGCAAGGAUUGAUUACCAGGAAAGGGCAAAGCGUAAGGUGGAUAAAUCACUUGAAGUUAUAUGGCAUGGGUCAAAGACUUUUGGUUCUUCUUCUCCGAUUUUCACAAGUGCCUUUCCUGUUUAUUAUAGUCCUCCAAAUGGUUUCCAUUUUGAAGUCAAUGAUGACUCUUCACCUAUACAGGCCCUAAAACAAGAUUCGAGGUGCCGUCAACAAUGCUAACAGAAUCCUCCAGGUCAGAUUGUUGAUUGGACCUGAUUUUAUUUAAAUGAUCUUAAUAAUCCAUUUUAUUUAAAUGAGCAGACCCGGAUGCGUGUCGGAGCUAUCCGGAUGAUGAGCGGGGGUCCCUGGAAUGUGGGAACCGUUGUUAUGACCAUGAUGAAGCUGUCCAUUUCCUAUGGACAACAUUGGAGUGGCCUGACCAUUUGGACAGGCUAUGUUUAUAUCUUUAUUUACUCGAAAUUGAUGGAGUAGACCCGGAUGUGCGUCGGAGCUAUUCGGAUGUUGAGAGGGGGUCCCUGGAAGGUGAGAAUCGCUAUUAUGACCAUGAUGAAGCUUUCCAUUUCCUAUGGACAACAUUGGAGUGGCCUGGUCAUUUGGACAGGCCGUGUUUAUAUCUGUAUUUGCUCGAAAUUGAUGAAGCAGAUCCGAAUGUGCGUCGGAGCUAUCCAGAUGUUGAGUGGGGGUCCCUGGAAGGUGGGAACUGCUGUUAUGAUCAUGAUGAAGCUGUCCAUUUCCUAUGGACAACAUUGGAGUAGCCUUGCCAUUUGGACAAGUCAUGUUUAUAUCUGUACUUGCAGGGACCACACCCUUAACCUAUAACCUAAACCUAUUUUCAA